ACUUGCCUUUGCGAGGGGGAUAACAGUUGGAAACGACUGCUAAUACCGCAUAAUGUCUACGGACCAAACAGGGCUUCGGCUCUGGCGCAAAGAGAGGCCCAAGUGAGAUUAGCUAGUUGGUGAGGUAAAGGCUCACCAAGGCAACGAUCUCUAGCUGUUCUGAGAGGAAGAUCAGCCACACUGGGACUGAGACACGGCCCAGACUCCUACGGGAGGCAGCAGUGGGGAAUAUUGCACAAUGGGGGAAACCCUGAUGCAGCCAUGCCGCGUGUGUGAAGAAGGCCUUCGGGUUGUAAAGCACUUUCAGUCGUGAGGAAAGGUGCUAGUUUAAUAAACUAGUACUGUGACGUUAGCGACAGAAGAAGGACCGGCUAACUCCGUGCCAGCAGCCGCGGUAAUACGGAGGGUCCGAGCGUUAAUCGGAAUUACUGGGCGUAAAGCGUGCGUAGGCGGUUUAUUAAGCGAGAUGUGAAAUCCCGGGGCUCAACCUCGGAACUGCAUUUCGAACUGGUAAACUAGAGUAUUGUAGAGGGUGGUGGAAUUUCCAGUGUAGCGGUGAAAUGCGUAGAGAUUGGAAGGAACAUCAGUGGCGAAGGCGGCCACCUGGACAAAUACUGACGCUGAGGUACGAAAGCGUGGGGGGCAAACAG
rnacentral:rRNA from 1 species